AGAGUUUGAUCAUGGCUCAGAACGAACGCUGGCGGCGUGCUUAACACAUGCAAGUCGAGUGCGCGGUUGUAGCAAUACAACUGGCGCACGGCGCACGGGUGCGUAACACGUGGGUAACCUGCCCUUUGGUGGGGAAUAACUCCGCGAAAGCGGAGCUAAUUCCGCAUAAGAUCCGCAAGGAUGAAAGCCGCAAGGCGCCGAAGGAGGGGCCCGCGCCCGAUUAGCUAGUUGGUAGGGUAACGGCCUACCAAGGCUUUGAUCGGUAGCUGGUCUGAGAGGAUGAUCAGCCACACUGGAACUGAGACACGGUCCAGACUCCUACGGGAGGCAGCAGUGGGGAAUCUUGCACAAUGGGCGAAAGCCUGAUGCAGCGACGCCGCGUGGGGGAUGAAGCAUUUCGGUGUGUAAACCCCUUUCGAUCCGGACGAAACCCCGCAAGGGAUUGACGGUACGGAUAUAAGAAGCCCCGGCUAACUACGUGCCAGCAGCCGCGGUAAGACGUAGGGGGCCAGCGUUGUUCGGAAUUACUGGGUGUAAAGGGUUCGUAGGCGGUGCGGCAAGUUGGGAGUGAAAUCUCUGGGCUUAACCCAGAGGCUGCUUCCAAAACUGCUGUGCUUGAGUGUGGGAGAGGCGCGUGGAAUUGCAGGUGUAGCGGUGAAAUGCGUAGAUAUCUGCAGGAACACCCGUGGCGAAAGCGGCGCGCUGGACCACUACUGACGCUGAGGAACGAAAGCUAGGGGAGCAAACAGGAUUAGAUACCCCCGUAGUCC
rnacentral:rRNA from 1 species